rnacentral:rRNA from 1 species
GGCUCACCAAGGCGACGACGGGUAGCCGGCCUGAGAGGGUGACCGGCCACACUGGGACUGAGACACGGCCCAGACUCCUACGGGAGGCAGCAGUGGGGAAUAUUGCACAAUGGGCGAAAGCCUGAUGCAGCAACGCCGCGUGAGGGAUGACGGCCUUCGGGUUGUAAACCUCUUUUAGUAGGGAAGAAGCGAAAGUGACGGUACCUGCAGAAAAAGCACCGGCUAACUACGUGCCAGCAGCCGCGGUAAUACGUAGGGUGCAAGCGUUGUCCGGAAUUAUUGGGCGUAAAGAGCUCGUAGGCGGUUUGUCGCGUCUGCUGUGAAAUCCCGAGGCUCAACCUCGGGCUUGCAGUGGGUACGGGCAGACUAGAGUGCGGUAGGGGAGAUUGGAAUUCCUGGUGUAGCGGUGGAAUGCGCAGAUAUCAGGAGGAACACCGAUGGCGAAGGCAGAUCUCUGGGCCGUAACUGACGCUGAGGAGCGAAAGCAUGGGGAGCGAACAGGAUUAGAUACCCUGGUAGUCCAUGCCGUAAACGUUGGGCGCUAGAUGUAGGGACCUUUCCACGGUUUCUGUGUCGUAGCUAACGCAUUAAGCGCCCCGCCUGGGGAGUACGGCCGCAAGGCUAAAACUCAAAGGAAUUGACGGGGGCCCGCACAAGCGGCGGAGCAUGCGGAUUAAUUCGAUGCAACGCGAAGAACCUUACCAAGGCUUGACAUACACCGGAAACGGCCAGAGAUGGUCGCCCCCUUGUGGUCGGUGUACAGGUGGUGCAUGGUUGUCGUCAGCUCGUGUCGUGAGAUGUUGGGUUAAGUCCCGCAACGAGCGCAACCCUCGUUCUAUGUUGCCAGCGGGUUAUGCCGGGGACUCAUAGGAGACUGCCGGGGUCAACUCGGAGGAAGGUGGGGAUGACGUCAAAUCAUCAUGCCCCUUAUGUCUUGGGCUUCACGCAUGCUACAAUGGCCGGUACAAAGGGCUGCGAUACCGUAAGGUGGAGCGAAUCCCAAAAAGCCGGUCUCAGUUCGGAUUGAGGUCUGCAACUCGACCUCAUGAAGUCGGAGUCGCUAGUAAUCGCAGAUCAGCAACGCUGCGGUGAAUACGUUCCCGGGCCUUGUACACACCGCCCGUCAAGUCAUGAAAGUCGGUAACACCCGAAGCCGGUGGCCUAACCCUUGUGGAAGGAGCCGUCGAAGGUGGGAUCGGUGAUUAGGACUAAGUCGUAACAAGGUAGCCGUACCGGAAGGUGCGGCUGGAUCACCUCCUUUCU